CAAUAGCGUAUAUUAAAGUUGUUGCGGUUAAAAGCUCGUAGUUGGAUUUCUGUCGAGGGCGGCCGGUCCUUACUAUGUAAGUGCAUCUGGUUCGGUCUUGGCAUCCUCUUGGGGAUCGUUUCUGUGCUUGAUUGCAUGGGGCGGAAUUCAAGACUUUUACUUUGAGGAAAUUAGAGUGUUCACGGCAAGCUAUCGCUUUGAAUACAUUAGCAUGGAAUAAUAAUAUAGGGCGUAAGUUCUAUUUUGUUGGUUUCUAGGACAUACGCAAUGAUUAAUAGGGAUAAUUGGGGGCACUCGUAUUAACACGUCAGAGGUGGAAUUCUUAGAUUGUGUUACGACGAACUACUGCGAAAGCAUUUGCCAAGGAUGUUUUCAUUGAUCAAGAACGAAAGUAUGGGGAUCGAAGACGAUUAGAUACCAU
rnacentral:rRNA from 1 species